GAUGAACGCUAGCGGCAGGCUUAACACAUGCAAGUCGAGGGGCAGCGUGGAGCAGCAAUGCUCUGACGGCGACCGGCGGAAGGGUGCGUAACACGUGAGCGACUUGCCCGUCACAGGGGGAUAACCGGCGGAAACGGCGACUAAUACCCCAUACGAUGUGAUGCUGCAUGGCAUUGCAUUGAAAGAUUCAUCGGUGGCGGAUAGGCUCGCGGGACAUUAGCUAGACGGCGGGGCAACGGCCCACCGUGGCGACGAUGUCUAGGGGUUCUGAGAGGAAGGCCCCCCACACUGGGACUGAGACACGGCCCAGACUCCUACGGGAGGCAGCAGUGAGGAAUAUUGGUCAAUGGGCGGAAGCCUGAACCAGCCAUGCCGCGUGAAGGACUAAGGGCCCUACGGGUCGUAAACUUCUUUAGACGCAGAGCAAUAAGGUCCACGCGUGGACCGAUGAGAGUAUGCGUAGAAUAAGCA
rnacentral:rRNA from 1 species